rnacentral:rRNA from 1 species
GAUGAACGCUAGCAGGAGGCCUAACACAUGCAAGCCGAGCGGUAUUGUUUCUUCGGAAAUGAGAGAGCGGCGUACGGGUGCGUAACACGUGUGCAACCUGCCUUUAUCUGGGGGAUAGCCUUUCGAAAGGAAGAUUAAUACUCCAUAAUAUAUUGAACGGCAUCGUUUAAUAUUGAAAGCUCCGGCGGAUAGAGAUGGGCACGCGCAAGAUUAGCUAGUUGGUGAGGUAACGGCUCACCAAGGCGAUGAUCUUUAGGGGGCCUGAGAGGGUGAUCCCCCACACUGGUACUGAGACACGGACCAGACUCCUACGGGAGGCAGCAGUGAGGAAUAUUGGUCAAUGGGUGCAAGCCUGAACCAGCCAUCCCGCGUGAAGGACGACUGCCCUAUGGGUUGUAAACUUCUUUUGUAUAGGGAUAAACCUACCCUCGAGAGGGUAGCUGAAGGUACUAUACGAAUAAGCACCGGCUAACUCCGUG